GACGAACGCUGGCGGCGUGCUUAACACAUGCAAGUCGAACAGUAAGGCCCCAGCUUGCUGGGGUACACGAGUGGCGAACGGGUGAGUAACACGUGGGUGACCUGCCCCGCACUUCGGGAUAAGCCUGGGAAACUGGGUCUAAUACCGGAUAGGACCGCACCGUGAGGGUGUGGUGGAAAGUUUUUCGGUGUGGGAUGGGCCCGCGGCCUAUCAGCUUGUUGGUGGGGUAAUGGCCUACCAAGGCGGCGACGGGUAGCCGGCCUGAGAGGGUGGACGGCCACAUUGGGACUGAGACACGGCCCAGACUCCUACGGGAGGCAGCAGUGGGGAAUAUUGCACAAUGGGCGGAAGCCUGAUGCAGCGACGCCGCGUGGGGGAUGACGGCCUUCGGGUUGUAAACUCCUUUCACCAUCGACGAAGGUUUUCUGACGGUAGAUGGAGAAGAAGCACCGGCUAACUACGUG
rnacentral:rRNA from 1 species